UUAACUCACACCAACCAACGCCAGGGAAUUACGAGCUAUGCUUAAAACCCAAAGGACUUGACGGUGUCCCACCCACCUAGAGGAGCCUGUUCUAUAAUCGAUGAUCCCCGAUACACCUAACCAUUCCUCGCCCAUCAGUCUGUAUACCUCCGUCGAAAGCCUACCAUGUGAACGCUUACAGUAGGCCCAAUGAUCCUCAUCAACACGUCAGGUCAAGGUGCAGCUUACGGAAUGGAAAGCAAUGGGCUACAAUUUCUAGUUUAGAACAAACGAAAGACUCUGUGAAACCUUAGUCAUGAAGGCGGAUUUAGUAGUAAAAGGAAAAUAGAGUGUUCCUUUUAACCUGGCUCUGGGACGCGUACACACCGCCCGUCACCCUCUUSGAUAGCACUUCACCCAGGUAUUUAACCCAAUACCGCAUCUUAGAAGAGGCAAGUCGUAACACGGUAAGUGUACUGGAAAGUGCACUUGGUCUAC
rnacentral:rRNA from 1 species